rnacentral:rRNA from 1 species
AGAGUUUGAUCCUGGCUCAGAACGAACGCUGGCGGCGUGGAUUAGGCAUGCAAGUCGAGCGGGAUCCAGUGUGUUCAAUCUUUCGAGAGAGAACUGCUGGUGAGAGCGGCGAACGGGUGAGUAACGCGUGGGCAAUCUACCCUUAAGUCGGGGAUAGCCCGGCGAAAGCCGGGGUAAUACCGGAUAUGGUCUUCCUGCUCAUACAGGAAUAUCCAAAGGUGGGGAUCUUUAGGGACCUGCCGCUUAUAGAUGAGCCCGCGUCCCAUCAGUUUGUUGGUGAGGUAAUGGCUCACCAAGGCGACGACGGGUAGCUGGUCUGAGAGGAUGGUCAGCCACACUGGGACUGAGACACUGCCCAGACUCCUACGGGAGGCUGCAGUCGAGAAUCUUGGACAAUGCGCGAAAGCGUGAUCCUGCGACGCCGCGUGGAGGAUGACGGCCUUCGGGUUGUAAACUCCUGUCAUGAGGGAACAAUCUUCGGGGUGUGAAUAGCGCCUCGGACUGAUGGUACCUCAAGAGGAAGCCACGGCUAACUCUGUGCCAGCAGCCGCGGUAAUACAGAGGUUGCGAGCGUUGUUCGGAUUUACUGGGCGUAAAGGGUGCGUAGGCGGCACCGCAUGUCGGAUGUGAAAGCUCACGGCUCAACCGUGGAAUUGCAUCCGAAACUGCGGAGCUAGAGUACUGGAGAGGAAAGCGGAAUUCUCGGUGUAGCGGUGAAAUGCGUAGAUAUCGAGAGGAACACCGGUGGCGAAAGCGGCUUUCUGGACAGAUACUGACGCUGAGGCACGAAAGCUGGGGGAGCGAAGAGGAUUAGAUACCCUCGUAGUCCCAGCCGUAAACGUUGUGUACUUGGUGUGGGCGGCUUUGUCCCCGUCCGUGCCGGAGCUAACGCGUUAAGUACACCGCCUGGGGAGUACGGUCGCAAGACUAAAACUCAAAGGAAUUGACGGGGGCCCGCACAAGCGGUGGAGCAUGUGGCUUAAUUCGAUGCAACGCGAAGAACCUUACCCAGGCUUGACAAUGCCCGUCGUAUCCCUGUGAAAGCAGGGAGUCAGCUCGGCUGGACGGUGCACAGGUGCUGCAUGGCUGUCGUCAGCUCGUGCCGUGAGGUGUUGGGUUAAGUCCCGCAACGAGCGCAACCCUUGUGGCUAGUUGCCACUUCAACCGAGAGGUUCGAAGCACUCUAGCCAGACUGCCCGUGACAAGCGGGAGGAAGGUGGGGAUGACGUCAAGUCAGUAUGGUCCUUAUGCCUGGGGCUGCACACGUGCUACAAUGGCCGGUACAGAGGGACGCAAAACCGCGAGGUGGAGCAAAUCCCCAAAACCUGGCCUCAGUUCGGAUUGGAGUCUGCAACUCGACUCCAUGAAGUUGGAAUCGCUAGUAAAGGCGUAUCAGCUACGACGCCUUGAAUACGUUCCCGGGCCUUGUACACACCGCCCGUCACAUCAUGGAAGUCGACUGCUCCCGAAGUCGCUGAUCCAACCCGCAAGGGAGGAAGGUGCCGAAGGUGUGGUUGGUAACUGGGAUGAAGUCGUAACAAGGUAACC